rnacentral:rRNA from 1 species
GGGGGGAAAAUUAAAUGGUUAAAUAUUAAUAAAAUAAAUUUUAAAUUAAAAAUAUAUAAUGGGGGUUAAAGUAUUUUUAAUAGAAAAAAUUUAAAUUUUUAUAGUUAACUAAGUAUUGUAAAAGAAAUUUGAAAUAAAUGAAAAUUAAUUAAUAAAAAAGAAAAUUUAGUUUAUUGUAUCUUGUGUAUCAGAGUUUAUUAAAUAAGAUUUUUAUAAAAAAAGAUCUCGAAUUUAAAAGAGUUAAUUAAUUAAUAAAGUUAAUGUAGUAUAAUUAUUUUAAAUAAUUAAUUAGAAAUGAAAUGUUAAUCGUUUUUAAAUAUAUCUAGUUAUUUUAGAAAAAAAUUAAAUUUUAAAUUUAAAUAAUUUUAUAAUUUAAUAAAAUAAUUAUAAAAAUUUAAAUUUAAUAUAAUAAGGGAUAAGCUUUAAAAUUAAAGAUUUAUAAUAAAUUAAUUUUAAAAUUAAAAUUUUUAAAAUUUAUAUUGUUUAAAAAUUAUAAUUUAUUAUAAAAAAUUUUAAUAUAAAUAAAAUUUAAUUAAAAAAUUUAAAUUUAUAUAAAAUAAUAAUUUUGUAUAAAAUAAAAUUAAUAAUAAUGAUAAAAUUAGUAUAAAUUUAAAGAUAAAAUAUUAAAUAUUAAUUAAAAUUAAUAAAAAGGAAUUCGGCAAACAAAAUAUUCACUUGUUUAUCAAAAACAUGUCUUUUUGAGAAUAAUUUAAAGUCUAAUCUGCCCACUGAUUAAUAUUAAAGGGCUGCAGUAUAAUGACUGUACAAAGGUAGCAUAAUCAAUAGUUUUUUAAUUGGAAACUUGUAUGAAAGAUUUGAUGAAAUAUAAACUGUCUCUUAUUUAUUAUUAGAAAUUUAUUUUUUAGUUAAAAAGCUAAAAUAAUUUUAAAAGACGAGAAGACCCUAUAGAGUUUUAUAUUUAUUUUUAUUUUAUAGGUAUAUAAAAAUUUAAAAUAAGAUAAAAAUAAAUAUUUUGUUGGGGUGACAGAAAAAUUAAAUUAACUUUUUUUAAAAAUUAAACAUAGAUAAAUGAUUAAAUGAUCCAUUAAUAAUGAUUAUAAGAAAAAAUUACCUUAGGGAUAACAGCGUAAUAUUUUUUUUUAGUUCGUAUAAAAAAGAAAGUUUGCGACCUCGAUGUUGGAUUAAGGUAAAAUUUAAAUGCAAAAGUUUAAAAUUUUGAUCUGUUCGAUCAUUAAAACCUUACAUGAUCUGAGUUCAAACCGGUGUGAGCCAGGUUGGUUUCUAUCUUUAAAUAAAGAAAAUGUUUUAGUACGAAAGGAUCAAGCAUUUAAAAUAAUUUUAAUAAAAGAAUAUUAUUAAUUAAUUAAUAGAAUU